rnacentral:lncRNA from 1 species
UAUUUCUAGUGUGACAGUACAGUUUGAAGAAAUAAGAAAGUAGGAACCAGUGUGUUAAUAGUCCUGUUCUGUACUACAGCAGACCAUAUAUACAGGUGCAAAAGCAUAGUUUAUUGCACAAAAUCAAAAAUUUUAGUUUAAAUUCAAAUCAUGUACGAAGCCUAAGUUCUUUGACUACAGAUAUUCUGUGUCUGAAACCUAUUAUGUCUGUAAUCCAAAUUCAGACCUGUAUUAAGCAUGAAUAUUGUGUCCAUUUUUGCCCCAACUGUUCAGGGUUGUAUCCAGCUGCGCUCAGAGAAGUUAUUGAGUUUUCCUGCUCUCUAAACAGUAUUUCAGUGUUCUUCCUAGGGCCUUUCAGCAUCAUGGUAAUGUGAUGCUAUAUUUCUGAAUGUGAUGCUAUUCAAUGAGUUUUCUUAUAAAUUAUAUUAUGGAUGUGAUGCUAUAAUUUUUAGAAAC